rnacentral:lncRNA from 1 species
AUGUCAUACGCCUUCCCAGCACCAAUGUCUGUUCCUGAGACCUUACAGGCCACCUCAUUCUUUGGAAUCUCGUUGGCUGGUGUGAGCUCACGUCCCUGUGAAAGAGCUGAAGAGGUGCAGCAUGGCUCACAACUGCCUGCAGUGCAUCAAGUACCUAAUGUUUGUCUUCAACCUCCUCUUCUGGGUGAGUACACAUCUGAGAUUGAGAGCUGUUUGCCUUUGUUUCCCCUUU